rnacentral:rRNA from 1 species
UGGGGAAUUUUGCACAAUGGGGGAAACCCUGAUGCAGCGACGCCGCGUGAUUUAGAAGGCCUUCGGGUUGUAAAAAUCUUUUCUAUGGGAAGAAAAUGACAGUACCAUAGGAAUAAGGACCGGCUAAUUACGUGCCAGCAGCCGCGGUAAUACGUAAGGUCCGAGCGUUGUCCGGAAUCAUUGGGCGUAAAGGGUACGUAGGCGGGUAAGCAAGUUAGAAGUGAAAUCCUGUAGCUCAACUACAGUAAGCUUUUAAAACUGCUCAUCUUGAGAUAUGGAAGGGAAAGUGGAAUUCCUAGUGUAGCGGUGAAAUGCGCAGAUAUUAGGAGGAAUACCAGUAGCGAAGGCGACUUUCUGGACACAAACUGACGCUGAGGUACGAAAGCGUGGGGAGCAAACAGG